ACGCGUGGAACCUUACCAGGUCUUGACAUCCUCUGACACUCCUAGAGAUAGGACGUUCCCCUUCGGGGGACAGAGUGACAGGUGGUGCAUGGUUGUCGUCAGCUCGUGUCGUGAGAUGUUGAGUUAGGUCCCGCAACGAGCGCAACCCUUGAUCUUAGUUGCCAGCAUUUAGUUGGGCACUCUAAGGUGACUGCCGGUGACAAACCGGAGGAAGGUGGGGAUGACGUCAAAUCAUCAUGCCCCUUAUGACCUGGGCUACACACGUGCUACAAUGGAUGGUACAAAGGGCAGCAAAGCGGUGACGCCUAGCGAAUCCCAUAAAACCAUUCUCAGUUCGGAUUGUAGGCUGCAACUCGCCUACAUGAAGCUGGAAUCGCUAGUAAUCGCGGAUCAGCAUGCCGCGGUGAAUACGUUCCCGGGCCUUGCACACACCGCCCGU
rnacentral:rRNA from 1 species